GACGCACCUCUGGUGCACCAGUUGUCACGCCAGUGGCACAGCUGGGUAGCUAUGUGCGGACGGGAUAAGCGCUGAAAGCAUCUAAGCGUGAAGCCCCCUUCAAGAUGAGACUUCCCAUAGCGCAAGCUAGUAAGACCCCUUAUAGACGAUGAGGUUGAUAGGUUCGGUGUGGAAGUGCAGUAAUGCAUGGAGCUGACGAAUACUAAUCGGUCGAGGACUUAUCCACA
rnacentral:rRNA from 1 species